GACGAACGCUGGCGGCGUGCCUAAUACAUGCAAGUCGAGCGAACAGACGAGGAGCUUGCUCCUCUGACGUUAGCGGCGGACGGGUGAGUAACACGUGGGUAACCUACCUAUAAGACUGGGACAACUUCGGGAAACCGGAGCUAAUACCGGAUAAUAUAUUGAACCGCAUGGUUCAAUAGUGAAAGACGGUUUUGCUGUCACUAAUAGAUGGAUCCGCUCCGCAUUAGCUAGUUGGUAAGGUAACGGCUUACAAAGGCAACGAUGCGUAGCCGACCUGAGAGGGUGAUCGGCCACACUGGAACUGAAACACGGCCAAGACUCCUAGGGGGGGCGCCGUUAGGGAAUCUUCCACAAGGCACGAAGUCCGGACGAGGCAACACCGCGGGAGUGAUGAAGUUCUUCGGAUCGUAAAACACUGUUAUUAAGGAAGAACAAAGGUGUAAGUAACUAUGCACGUCUUGACGGUACCUACUCAGAAAGCCACGGCUAACUACGUG
rnacentral:rRNA from 1 species